AUUAAAUUAAGCCAUUUCUCUCAGUCUCUCUGUCUUGUGGGCACGCGCUGAUGUACACACACACACACACACACACACACACACACACGAGAAAGAGAGAGACAGACAGAAAUGUGGGCAGACAGACAGACACAGGCAGGCAGGCAGGCAGUAGCACUAAGAAUCCUCUUGUGCCCUCUACUUUGAUCCUUCCCCUGCCAGCACUUUGCCCUGUCCCCUUCACAUUCUCUGUGGCCUUAAGUCUGUGAGUUUUCCUUUGACCUCUGAUGGCUGCUUGUAGACCUCAUGCCACUCUGCCGGGAUUGCUUCAGGUGCAUUUUCCUGAGAAGAGGCCCCUCGUUGUCAUACCCCUGAACUCACAGGGUGACAGUGAUGCUUGGGAAAUGCAGCUGAGUACAAUCUUGUCUGUCAUUUAUUUAUUUGAGAUUUUGUGAUAGGGUUUCACUGUGUAGCCCUGGCCAGCCUGAAACUCACUCUGUAGAGGAGGCUGGCCUCUGUGGCAUAGAGACCCAUCUGAUUCUGCCUCCCAAGUGCUGAGAUUAGAGGUACCCCCUUGACCAGCUAACACUGUCAUCUAACAUACAGAUUUGAUAAAGGUUCCUUCCGAGGCUUGGGUUUGUUCCCUGUCCGGGAUGGAGCCCAGCACCAUCUGCACUUUUACAUUGUACAGUUUGUUGUUUACUUAGUUGGCUUUUCUUGGUGACUUAGGAAGCAUCCAUCUAAAGGUAAGAUGUGUCUGUGCUUAUGGUAUUAGAGGCUUCUGUCCACACUCAGUUGGAGCCACGGCUUUUAGGUCUGGUGUCAGAGAUAAAUGGUGGAGGAUACAUGGGGCGAAGCCACUCACCUCAUGGUGGUCAGACAGGAAAGAUGGAGACCGGAUUCUCAUUCCGGGGUGUGUCCCCAAAGACUUAAACUUCCUUACUAGGCCUCUCCACCUAACAGUUCCACUCCUGACAGUACCUCAAGCUAGUACCACACCCCACGUACACAGACUAGGGAUAGUUCACAUACAAACCCUGUGCCUCCUGAGUCGUGUGUGGGCUUCUCCUCAGGUUGUUUUUCUAGAGCCUUUGUGUGGCUUACCCACAAGUGAACAGGAGGCAUGUUUGUAGUGUGUUUUUAUUUUUGUUUUGACAGGGGUGUCAUGUUUCCCAGGCUAGCCUUGAACCCACUGUGCAGCUGAAGAAGCCUCGAGCCUGCCUGUCGUCAGCAGGCACUCCUAGAACUUGUGCUGAGCUUCUGUGGACCCCCCGUUCUGUCUGGAACCAGUGUUGUAUGCCAGUAUUCCGGGGAGAGUAUCUUACACAUUCUGUCAGCUGCGUUAAUUUGGAGGGGAGCGUCGUG
ensembl:lncRNA